GAUGAACGCUGGCGGCGUGCUUAAUACAUGCAAGUCGAACGGAGAUAGUAGCAAUAUUAUCUUAGUGGCGAACGGGUGAGUAACGCGUGGUUGACCUGCCCCGAAGAGAGGGAUAGCAGUUCGAAAGGACUGAUAAUACCUCAUGUGGUUGAAGGUUUUAGAAUCUUUCAACUAAACGGAUUUAUUCGCUUUGGGAGGGGACUGCGUCCCAUCAGCUAGUUGGUAGGGUAAUGGCCUACCAAGGCGAUGACGGGUAGGGACCUGAGAGGGUGGCCCCCCACAAUGGAACUGAAACACGGUCCAUACACCUACGGGUGGCAGCAGUAGGGAAUAUUGGUAAUGUGCGAAAGCGUGAACCAGCAACGCCGCGUGUGCGAUGAAGGCCUUCGGGUUGUAAAGCACUUUUCGGGAGGAAGAGGAAGGACUGUACUCCAGAAUAAGCCUCGGCUAACUACGUG
rnacentral:rRNA from 1 species